rnacentral:rRNA from 1 species
AUUGAACGCUGGCGGCAGGCCUAACACAUGCAAGUCGAGCGGGGUUUUCGGACCUAGCGGCGGACGGGUGAGUAAUGCGUAGGAAGCUGCCCGAUAGAGGGGGAUACCAGUUGGAAACGACUGUUAAUACCGCAUAAUGUUUACGGACCAAAGUGUGGGACCUUCGGGCCACAUGCUAUCGGAUGCGCCUACGUGGGAUUGGCUAGUUGGUGAGGUAAUGGCUCACCAAGGCGACGAUCUCUAGCUGGUUUGAGAGGAUGAUCAGCCACACUGGAACUGAGACACGGUCCAGACUCCUACGAGAGGCAGCAGUGGGGAAUAUUGGACAAUGUGCGCAAGCCUGAUCCAGCCAUGCCGCGUGUGUGAAGAAGGCCUUCGGGUUGUAAAGCACUUUCAGCGAGGAGGAAGGGGUAGUAGUUAAUAGCUGCUACUUUUGACGUUACUCGCAGAAGAAGCACCGGCUAACUCUGUGCCAGCCGCCGCGGUAAGAC